GGCGCCAUCGUCUAACGGUUAGGACACGUCCUUUUCAAGGACGGUAUCGGGGUUCGAUUCCCCGUGGCGCUG
rnacentral:tRNA from 1 species